rnacentral:lncRNA from 1 species
AUGGGCUUCUGUUGUAGUUAUUUAAACAGGUUAGCGUCACGACAUUCUAAGGCAGCGGCUAACACUUUUCUAAAAGGCGGACAAUUUUCAGCCCUGCAACAUUCAUCAAGAGCUAGGGAGGAAUGGAAUAGUGCAGAAAAACUUAACUCAGAGGCAGCCACUAACAUUUUGAGUAUCAGGAAUAGUGAUUAUGAUAUCUCUAGAUUGAAUUACACUAAAAAUAUUGUCAUAACAUAA